rnacentral:rRNA from 1 species
GACGUAGGGCGCGAGCGUUGUCCGGAUUUAUUGGGCGUAAAGAGCUCGUAGGCGGCUUGUCGCGUCGUUCGUGAAAACUUGGGGCUCAACCCCCAAGCUUGCGGUCGAUACGGGCAGGCUGGAGUUCGGUAGGGGAGACUGGAAUUCCUGGUGUAGCGGUGAAAUGCGCAGAUAUCAGGAGGAACACCGGUGGCGAAGGCGGGUCUCUGGGCCGAUACUGACGCUGAGGAGCGAAAGCGUGGGGAGCGAACAGG